rnacentral:rRNA from 1 species
CAGACCCUUUUUAUGGCUCAGGAUGAACGCUAGCUACAGGCUUAACACAUGCAAGUCGAGGGGCAGCAUGAACUUAGCUUGCUAAGUUUGAUGGCGACCGGCGCACGGGUGAGUAACACGUAUCCAACCUGCCGAUGACUCGGGGAUAGCCUUUCGAAAGAAAGAUUAAUACCCGAUGGCAUAGUUCUUCCGCAUGGUGGAACUAUUAAAGAAUUUCGGUCAUCGAUGGGGAUGCGUUCCAUUAGGUUGUUGGCGGGGUAACGGCCCACCAAGCCUUCGAUGGAUAGGGGUUCUGAGAGGAAGGUCCCCCACAUUGGAACUGAGACACGGUCCAAACUCCUACGGGAGGCAGCAGUGAGGAAUAUUGGUCAAUGGACGAGAGUCUGAACCAGCCAAGUAGCGUGAAGGAUGACUGCCCUAUGGGUUGUAAACUUCUUUUAUACGGGAAUAAAGUGAGGCACGCGUGCCUUUUUGUAUGUACCGUAUGAAUAAGGAUCGGCUAACUCCGUGCCAGCAGCCGCGGUAAUACGGAGGAUCCGAGCGUUAUCCGGAUUUAUUGGGUUUAAAGGGAGCGUAGGCGGACGCUUAAGUCAGUUGUGAAAGUUUGCGGCUCAACCGUAAAAUUGCAGUUGAUACUGGGUGUCUUGAGUACAGUAGAGGCAGGCGGAAUUCGUGGUGUAGCGGUGAAAUGCUUAGAUAUCACGAAGAACUCCGAUUGCGAAGGCAGCCUGCUGGACUGUAACUGACGCUGAUGCUCGAAAGUGUGGGUAUCAAACAGGAUUAGAUACCCUGGUAGUCCACACAGUAAACGAUGAAUACUCGCUGUUUGCGAUAUACAGUAAGCGGCCAAGCGAAAGCGUUAAGUAUUCCACCUGGGGAGUACGCCGGCAACGGUGCAACUCAAAUGAAUUGACGGA